rnacentral:snRNA from 1 species
GAAUGUGAGGGCGAUCUGGCUGCGACAUCUGUCACCCCAUUGAUUGCCGGGAUUGAUCCAGCUGAUCUGGCUGGCUAGGUGGGUGUCCCCUUCCUCUCUCACCGCUCCGUGUGCUUCUCCCCGCCCCCGGGAAGCUGCACUGAGCACUCAGUCAGAGAGGAUGGCCAUCCCCAGGAGAGGAGGACCAGUCUUCAGCCAAGGGUAUACAAGUAGCUGUGAGCCCCUUUUAGACCCUCCAAACGAGCUCUCCAGGUCCCUUGUAGGAGACACAUCCAAAUGAGGCACUGCAUGCCAGCAGGCUGCUGUUCUUU